UGGGGAAUAUUGGACAAUGGGCGAAAGCCUGAUCCAGCCAUGCCGCGUGUAUGAAGAAGGCCUUCGGGUUGUAAAGUACUUUCAGCGAGGAGGAAGGCGUUGUGGUUAAUAACCGCAACGAUUGACGUUACUCGCAGAAGAAGCACCGGCUAACUCCGUGCCAGCAGCCGCGGUAAUACGGAGGGUGCAAGCGUUAAUCGGAAUUACUGGGCGUAAAGCGCACGCAGGCGGUUUGUCAAGUCGGAUGUGAAAUCCCCGGGCUCAACCUGGGAACUGCAUCCGAAACUGGCAGGCUAGAGUCUUGUAGAGGGGGGUAGAAUUCCAGGUGUAGCGGUGAAAUGCGUAGAGAUCUGGAGGAAUACCGGUGGCGAAGGCGGCCCCCUGGACAAAGACUGACGCUCAGGUGCGAAAGCGUGGGGAGCAAACA
rnacentral:rRNA from 1 species